rnacentral:lncRNA from 1 species
GAUGAUGCACUUGAAACCCUCUUUGGUGAGUUCCUGGUCUCCUCCCUCUCUCUCGCUUGUGUCCUGAGAUUGUCCUGCUCGAUAGCCAUGGUUGGCACUAGUGCGAAUCAUCGACCGAAUGAUUGAGGCCUUGGUUAUGUAUGUGGCCAUGCUUCCUUACUAUGCUGGUGGUCCUCCGGCCACCACAAGUGUUUUGUGUUGAUGAUUGGUUUGACGUUUUUUUAGCUGGGGCUAGUUUCAUGUUGUGCACUUGGCCAUCAUCUUCAUAGUUCUUACUGUAGUGUAGCUAUUUUUGGUGUUUUAUCAUGCCAUUGUCCUAAUCUGCUUGUGGAUGAGAUGCUGGCCAUUGAGUUGAUUUGUCAUAUCAUGGUUCGAAUUGCAAAUAGAACUUGCUACUGUGGAAGUUUACGCGGUUUAGAGAUUGGCCUGGUUUAGUUAAUUGCUAUGGAGUAAUUUUGAUAAGAACUAGAGUAAUUUACUUGUUGUGGGUAUAUAGCUUGUUUACUUUCAGAUGAUGUUACUUUCUGGGUCUAUUUUCCUGAAUUGGCAUGGUAUAAUAACUACAUGUUGAUGGUUAUGCUACUCCUUGGCCAUGCUCUUGUUUGAUAGGCCUGGAAAAAGAGAUAGAUAUUCUCUACUAGAUGUUUUACCAAGUGUUAGUGGUUUGUGCUGCUGAUAAGAAGUGUGGCAUACUUGAGCUAAUCCUGUGUGCAGCUAAUCCCAACAUGGUUUGACUAAGCAGCUUGUUUACUAGAUUUUUUAUUUGCUAAAAAAUUGAGACUCUUGUUGUGCAUUAGAUGCCCGAGUUUGGUGCCAUGGAGAUCGACGAUGAAGAUGUCAUUGCCCACAAAAGUGUCAAGGCAUUGAAGAGAGAAGACAUGUCCCCUGAGAGCCGAGAUGUGGAAAGCAUUAGGUAAAGUGGCAAGAGGAGCCGGAUGUGCAGCUUGUGCUUUUCUUUGUUGGCUGGUGGUUGCUGCUGAAGUGCAGAUUGAUGAUGCCUGGUGAUAUUGAAGUCCUAGUAGAUAGAUAUGCCCUAUGAUAAUUGUUUUCUUGUUGGUGGCUUACUUGUCGGCUGGUAGGUAUUGAGUCGAUGAAGUACCUUGUCGAAUUCUCAGCUCUUGUUGAUGUUCUCUUUUCUCGAUGGAGAGAGAGAGUGAUAUAUGAAGUGUAAAUUUCUGCAUAUUUUUUUCCACGAGUCUCUCCGAAAUGAAACCGGGAAUUGUGUGCCAUGCCAAUCUAUCUAUCUCUCUGUCUGUGAGUUGCCGAGAAGUUUCAAGCUGAGUGAUUUACAUAAUGGUAGUUUGUGCAAGCAUGCAUUUUAUGAUUGUUGUCUGCCUUGGCUUAUGAAUUUUUGUUCACCAAUAAAAAGUUUGCAAUGUACUCCCUUUGUAAAGAAAUAUAAGAGCGUUUAGGUCACUAUUUUAGUGAUCUAAAUGCUCUUAUAUUUCUUUACAGAGGGAGCAGAUGUCUUGACUUGUCUUGUAGGAAGGAAUAUUGAUAGAUAGAUGUAUCAUGGAGGCCUAUCUAAAUCAGCCCCUCAUGAUAUGCAAUGUAGGUGAUGUGGUUUCUGGCGGUGUUGUGGACCGGUCAUUUGGAGUUGGUCCAUGCUCGAGGUGAGGUAUAUGUCAUUGUAUUUAUUUAGUGUUUUGUUUAAUUUGUUCCCUUGUCUGCCUAAUAACUAGCUAGCUAGCUAGUACAUCAUCACGCCUCGUAUCCUGACUGAGUGCACGCACAAGCAACAAUUUAUGCCUUAUUUCUCCUAUGGACAUGGCAUGGCAUGGCAUAUCUCUGUUGGUAGGCUUUUGCCGUGAACAUCUAGUUGAACAUGCGUCCAAAACAUCUACUUGAACCAAAAUCAAAUAUAAAAUUGAAUGCCAAAAUGGCCAAAGAAAGAAGACACAGCAAAUAUUUUCAUGGAUUUUGGUGUUGACAGCAAGCAAAAAAAAACGUCCAUGACCAUUGGUCGUCUAACAGCCACACUGGUAGCUAGUCUUGUACUCCAUGCAAAUGCGGAUGCCAUUUGACAUUUUAGCUAGUCUUGUACAUGCAAAUGCGUACUAGCAAGCAGAGCAGUUACGUAAGUUGUGCAAGAAGAGGACAUGAUAGCUAGCUAGUAUAGAUACGAUAGAUAUCACCCGAGGAAGCCAGCUAACACACGUAUAGAUAGUAUCUUAUCAUAUUUCGUUAGACUGAGCGGCUGUUUUUUUUAGUUAUGAUUUGGACUCCCUUAAAAGACGCUAGCAGUUAGUGCGUACCUAUUAAUUACUAGGACGGAGGAAAAAUCAACAGAUCUCCUUCCACCUUCCAAGGAAACUUAACCGAUGGAAACCCACUUUUCAAGGAAUUGGAUUUAAUCCUCUCCCAAACCAACGCAUCCAUUAUUCCCUCCCCCCUCGAUCCAGCCUGCCUUCUUCCAUUCGAUCCUCAUGCCUCACGCAGAUCGACCACCCAUCCCACGGCUGCCCAUGUUCCUUGCCGGCUCGCUGCUCGCCAUGAUAUGAGGGCGCCGGCCUCUCCUCUCUUAUAUAUACCGCCUUGCUUUGUUUGCUCCUCCUUUUUCCUUAGAUCCAACACCCUGCGCUCGUCUCUGAUCGGAUGCGUCCAUGCCCGAUGCAACACAUGUGGUGCUCGUUCGUAUGAGCCGUCUGUCUUGGGCACCCUGGCCAUGCCUACCUCACUCGUCCACUCUAUCUAUGUAUGUAAGAUCAUGCACUACCUUCUUCAUCUAACUUGCUUCUUUAAGGAAAUCAACCUUGGUGCUUAGACUCUGAUGCGUUUUUUCUUUCUUUUGGACAUGGCGAUGCAUCUAUUUGACAUGGAGGCACAGACAAGAGCACACCUGGGCACCAGUCAUCAUAUUACUAAACCACAGUAUAGAAGCAAAGGUUAGUGGAAAACCAAACUGUACAUGCAUCGGCAUCUGUUGGUUGGAUGCUUCCUUUCAUUUUGUUUUGUCGUCCUUUUCUCUUAUGAUGAAUUAAUUAAUGUGUUGCUCUGCUCUAGUGGAUCUCAAUCUGGACUGUAUCGAGCUACACAACCCAUACGAGCCAGCUGGCAAAUCCAAUUCCAAGGUAACACUAUUCCCUUCAAACGUAGAAUGAUGUAGAAGUUUCGAACAUUUUCUAUAUAGCAGCAAGGUGCACAUUGAGAGUAAGCACACAUAGCGUGUCUCUGAAUUCUGCUUUAUUGCUAAUUAACUGCAAGAACGGUUUCAGAGAUACUAACAAACAAUGGUUUGUGUUUGGUUUGCCAUUGUACAUACAGUCCAAUUCAUCAAGUACAAACAAAUAUAACUUGUAGGUCUAUGCUAUAUAUGUCUGUAUUAUUCCUGUUCGUUUUUUAUGCACACUUACAUGCUAUAGAACCCUAGCAGACAACCUCAUACGUAUACUGCCCCUUGUAAUUCUCGGUCUAGUUCAGUUCUCACUAACCUAUGGUACAUUGAUGGAGCAGAUAAUAGGAAAUCUACUUACUAGUGAAUCAUGACCAAUGGUACAUUGAUGGAGCAGAUAAUAGGAAAUCUACUUACUAGUGAAUCAUGAGCUAAUGAAUUUCAGAAUAAGCUACUAAAAUACAAGCUAGGUAGGUAGUGCAAAACAUAACAUUCGGCAUUGUUCAUGAGCAAAUCACUAAGAUAUGUUAAUGCCAAAAUGAAAUUUGGUUAUCAACUAAAAUGAGUGAAGAACAAGACGAUGUGAAAUAUAAAAUGCAAGACGUGCAUGCAUCUCGUGUUGCUUAACUAGCAGCGAGCUUGGUGUCUCCGGGUGUGGUUGGUGUGGCGGUGGUGUCGACUUCUCCUUGAAGUAUUUGUUCCUCCGGCAAUCUCAUCCUCGCGGUGGCUCUUACUCCUGAGUUGUUGUGUGUCCAGGUGGAUUUGUUCAGGGUUCGGUGGCUGAUGUUGUUCCUGUAAGCGGAAUUAAAGACAUGUGUUGGCUGAUGCAGUUCAUGUUUAACUUGCUGGCAAAGCACCGGCCAAUACAUUGUUGGAAGACUUUUGGGAUGUGAAAAAUGAGAGAGAGGAGAGCGCGCUAAUGCUCCGCUGCCACUGGUUGCUGCUGCUGCUGAUCUCUCUGGGGAGAGAUGGUCUUUUAAAUGAGAAUUUGAGCUAGGGUUGUGCAUGCAUUUAUUCAACGCGUUAUGCUGCCAAAAUUUCUGGUCGAAAUUCCCACGACUUGUCGAAAUUUUGUCCUUCUUUGUAAGGAAACAAAACGUUUAGGGUGUCGGAUGCAAAAUGUUAGGGUCUUGGCUGCAAGAUUUUGUAAUUUGUGAGGAUGUAAACAGAAAUUAAUUUUAACAUUUGUUCCGAAUUCCGAAAAAUAUUAGUACUUCGAUGUUUGUUCACUUAUUUUCAGAAAAUGUUUGAAAAUUAAAAAGUAUUUUAAUUUCAGUUUUUUUUUGCCUUCGGAAAAUGUUAGACUUGUUAGGUGUUAGUCUAAAAUUAGAUAACAAGCAGAUUAAAAUUAGCAAACCAACCACCUGAAGAAAAGCAGAUACAGUAGAUAACACACCAAAAAAAAAUAGUGUGCAUAUACUCUCAAAGCUUCAAUUACUAGUGUGCGCGCAUCAUACAUCACAAGAUUCAGAUUCAAACCUAGUGCGUAUAUGCCUAUGAAGGCACAUGCUUUUAUAUAUUGGAGCAUAUAUAGCAGCUGUUCUUGCCUACUGCAAUUUAACCUAGCUGAGACGCAAAUAAUGCCGGCCAAUCUACCUCCAUAGGCACGGCCCACAUGGACAGGCCGCUCCGAAAUUGCUCCUCCUCUACUGUUCCAGUUUCGAUAUUGAUCCCGUGCACGCACUCAAACUCGUCUACGAUGAGCAAUGUGCCGCUUCUCUCCCCUGACCUACAACGGGUUUUCCACUCUCCUUUCGGUGGUUUUAGCUCGACCACCCUAACGAGAAGCCAUGCUUCGCUAUCUGUGCCGUUUUGCAGCCUCCAUAUGUCUAGACGACACAUGUCAGCUCCAACUUUAUAGAAGAGACAAAACAACAAUAGUGACCUGUCAACGGAAACACCAAGCGUCCAAGCAUGCGCUUCAACAAUCUUUUUGGGUGAGUUGGUCAGUCGGGAUCAAGAUCUAGGUGAGUUGGUCAGUAGUGAUAGUUGAAUAGCUCGUAGGUUGCACUUGUCAAAUAAACUUAUACCCAUCGGAAAGUCUACAUGAAUUCUCCCAAAAAAAAGAAAAAAAAGGAUACGUACAAUUUUUUAUGCACCACGCUGGGAUCUAUCUUAUAUGUUUAUUUUAGAAAAAUGAUGCAUACAUGAAGGUAGAAUGCACCAUAUGAGAUCUUUUUUAAGACAAACGUGAUAUAUCUAUCCUAUGCGUACAACACCACAUGAGUAUUUAUUUUAUCUAAUAUUUUAUUUAAACGUGCGUCCAUGCAGGGCACAAUACACCAUGUCAGAUCUAGUUUUUUUUUCUUUUUUUUAGGCGUCUUGCUUUUUUAGGAACGGAGGGAGUAAGAUGCAUGGAUGCAAGGCACAAUACACCACGUCAGAUUUAUUUAUUUUUUCAGCUUUUUUAGGCGUUUUACUUUUAGGAUGAGAAGUCUAGGGAUGACAAGUCUACGGCUUACUUUUUUUUUAGGCGUUUCUAAUUAUUAUGAGGUUUUCUAGACUAAUUCUCUUUUUUCUGGACACCCCAUAAAGCACUUUUUAUAUAUAAAUAGAUAAAUAGAUGUGUGUGUUAGCUUUUUGUUGUAUGCAUCAUUAUCUUAAAAAGGUCAAGUGUUUGUUCACAAUGUUUAUAUUCUCUUGAUGCGGCAUUAUUUUUUAUUAAUAAGAAGUUAGGCCGCGGUCUAUUUUUUGUUUCGAUAUUAUGAGUCAAUAAAAAGGCUUUCAUAUAUGUUAUAAUGAUGUUUAUUAUCGACAUUAUUUUAAUUGUGGCAUGUCGGACAUGUGGUUGUUAACAUCCUCCACCUAAAGGUACUCAAAAAUAAUUGCUUUUGAUGGUUUUAGUUGUAAUGAAGGGAUCUUUUUAGAUGUAUGUUGUUACUGCUACUGUAUGAAGUUGCUAGUCUAUAUACGAAUAUCAAUAGAGUCAUUUCACAUAGGGAACGGUGAAUGACAACACGUUUUAUUGAAUUGUGAUAAAUAAUAAGCCAGCAGGUAAUAUAGUAUUCGAGAAGCAGAUACAUAUUGGAACAAGCAUAGACUAGUAAUUAAACCCAUACAAGGGAAUAAUUAGUUAAGAUAUACCCUUACUUAGGGUGAAGAUCAAUAUAAUCACUUGGACCAUAGACCUCAAAUAACUCAGCAAAAAUUCCAUUCUUCCUUCUUGGGUUGCAUCCCAUGUCCCGACAUAGGUUAUCUUUGUACCAGUUAUUCAAAAGUCCAAUGCAGAAUGCAUGGAAUCCGCCAUGAGCGUACCGCUUCAUGAACUUCUCCCAUUCUAGGACAUCCCUAUGCAUUGCUUUAAUACUCGGUAACCUAAAUCCACCAUCCAUGAAAUGUGCUAGCCACUUGGCCCGUAGUUCUGAGGUGUGGAGAUUUGCAUAGCUCUCUGAAUAUCCGAUGACUGCGAGUUGUGGAAUGUUGGGAUGUACACAAUCCCUGUGAGAAAAUGUAUACCAAAUAAAUUAGAAACUUUUCAGAGAUACUUGAAGUAAAUAAAAUAAUGAAAAUCGGUGAUGACCUGUACAGUGAUAGAGUCAUGGAUGUUGAGCCACUCAAAAUACUCUGGAAGUAUUUCGAUGUGAACAUGCUCUUGAUAUUUUGGUCGCCAUUGAAUCCUGUUCCAAAGAUAACUAUGUCACUCUUUACCAACGUAGAUUCACCUUCAACCAGCACACCUUCUUUGCAAAAGCUGAAGGUCUUUGACUUCUCAACCAAGAUGCUGCCUUCCUCUAGAUUCUUGUAAUGAUCCUUGGGUGCAAGUUCAACCCAGCAUCCCACCAUCCCCUCAAAAAAACUAUGGUCGGGAACCAUGUCAUGCUUCUUCAUUGUAAUGGAGUAGUAGCUCUCGGCGAACUUUGAAAACAUCAACUUCUACUCAUACACAAAACGAGGAUAGACUUGUUAGGUGUUAAGUCUAAAAAUACAAACAUUUACACUUUAAAUAAUAUUAAGGUUGUAACUUGUAUAAAUAAAGGCAAAAUGUUGCCAUACCAAUGGAGUCAAGAUGGUAGCUAACAAGCUAAGGAAGAGGCCUUCGCCAGGCUUAUGAAUAAGGAGUUCACCGAACCGAGUUAGAUAUAAUUUUGAUAUGUCGAUACCCCAAGCAUAGAAGUCCGGUAAGACCCAUUGCUUGGUUCGGACAACCAUUGUGCAUGGUUUCUCAGUACCUAAAAAAAAGUCAUGCACAUAUUAUAUUAGUGAGGUUUCAUUUUUUAUGCCGCAAACUAUAAAAUGAAUACCAUAUAAGCAUUAUAGACAAGGCACAUAAAUUUCUUAAUUGGAAUGAUGAACAAAAAUGGAUAUACUAAUGCUUCGGUGAACACACUCUAAAUAUGAUAUAUUGUCCUUUGUGUGAGCAAAAUGAAGUUUUGUUCAAAAUGAAGCAUUGCACAUUUGUACCGUUCAAGCUUGCACAUUCAUUAGCGAUGUCAAGGGCCGAAUGUCCAUAGCCAAUAACAGUCACACGCUUGCCCUUGACCAUCUCCUUAGCUUUCUGACUACCCAUUUUGGAAUAGUCCAUGGAGUGGAUCACUUUUCCAUCAAAUGCUUCCGGGCCUUUUCCAGGAGGCAAUUUAGGUAUGUUGGGAACAUUGCUGAACCUUCCAAUACAAAGAAUCACAAAGUCUGCCGUGUGUACCUGGAGGAAGGAAAUGAAAGUUUACGAACAAUCCCGUAUGUGAAAUUUUUUAACUAGGAGCGAAAUUUCUAGCAGUGCUAGUUCUUUAGUCUUUACCUGCACCUGACCCUGGGCGUCGGCCACCGUGAGGCGCCACUUGCCGUUGCCAGAGCCAAAUGCGUCAGCGCAGCCAGCCCACUCGUCCCACGCCGCCACCUCCUCCUCGGCGACACCGACGUACUCCAUCCCGGCAACGCGGUGCCCGAAUCGGAUGCAUUCGAGCACCCCGAAGCGGCGCGCGUAGGCAUUGAGGUAGGCGGCGACCUGGCGGUUGUUCGGGAACUCCUCCGUGACGGAAUCCGGCCACGGGAAGUCCGUGUACUGGUACAUGGUCCGCUCGGUCUGGAGCCUGGUGCAGUCCGGGGUGUGCGCCCACACGCCGCCAACGACGGUGUCCGCCUCGAAUACCACCGGCCGGCACCCGCGCUCCAGCAGGUGCUUGCACGCCGCCAGCCCACUCACGCCAGCGCCGAUGAUGGCCACGCUCUUGUUCUCCAUGCCCAUGCCCAUGCUUGUGUUAUCCAUCGAUCCGCCGAUUUGUGUGUAUAUAUAGCUGCUGGGCGAUGAGAGAGAGAGAGAGCAAGGUAGAAUUGUCCGUUCCAAAUCUAAACAAGAAAAAUAUGAAUUAAAGAUUAUUCAACUGCUGCUACUGUAUCCGUCGCUGUCGUUGUGCUCGGCGCAUUCAUGUGGCGACAUGGAGCCAAAAUUUUCUCCACGUUUAAGGAAUGCCACGACACUCACAUGACAUUGACGGAUGUUUGGCUGGAGUAUUGUUCCGGAUGAAAUCUGGACCAGCUUCAUGGAUACCAGCACAAGUGGUUACUUAACCAUAAAAAAUAAUAUCUUUGGUCGACGGCUGAGAAGACUGGGUGGCUGCUCAAUUAAACUCGUGUAUUUGCAAAGGAAGUCACCGGCCAGUCUUCUGGUACAGUAAUCCUACUCGUGUGUCCCACGGGCACUAUUUCUACGUAACUUCUCCUUGCACGCUUAGCUUGGUGCCCCCACUAGACAAAUCACGCCACACAGCCAUGAAACCGGACAACAAUGUAGACCACCAAACUUAUACAGUAAAGAUAUCUUCAUAUUAUUGGAGCAUUUACAUUGUAGUGUUUUGAUUCCAAAAUUUAGCAGGAGGUUGGAUUCUAAAUACUUAGUAUAAUUUCCAACAUCCAUGUAUUUUUUGGUUGUAGUGGAACAACGUUACAAAAUGCGGACCGGCGUAGGCUCGACUCAUACUCGACACGUGUUGUUGAUGUAGUGAUGGGCACGGCAAUGUAGCAGACAAGGACAAUGCAGCAAACAGUCGAGAAAUUGCGUUGUGUGGAAAGCAAACACAUAUUCUCAUUUGCGCGAAGGCAAAGGCUUAGAGAGAUCACUCUUUCUAUACCUUUUGUGCAUGCCAGGAAGAAGAGUUGGCCAAGGUUCAGACGACCCGGCACUGUAACACCUAUGUUAGAAGGAGACACUACUAGGAAAUACCUUACAGGUACAUGCUAAGCAAUAGCAUGGGGUAAGAGCCCCACACUAUUGUUAAGUAGUAGUAGCGCGGCACACAGCCCCACACUACAUAUACAUAUUAGUAGUAGCGCCGGUGUGCAUACCACGCGUUGCUGAUAAGUGGGCCCUAUGGUACAGGCCGGGUGGAGCGGUAGUUGCAACGCCUGCCAAAGACACACGCUACUGCUACAUCCAUUACCUGCAGCGCCUCUCGUCCUCCGCUUUUGAACCUAUCAUCCAACGCUUUCUAAAGUACCUCUCUGGAUGGGCCGCGAAGCAUCUUUCCUGCGGCGCUCGUCUCACUCUCAUUUCCUCUACUCUCGACGCCCUUGUUACCCACUUCAUGUCCGUCUUUAGAAUCCAUCAGAAGAUUAACAAAAAACUAGACACCGUCCAUAGAUCCUUCUUCUGUCGUGGGAACGAUUUCGACAAUUAUAAGGGAUAGGGUAAAGGAGCAUGAUAUAUCGAGAUGCAUAUGGGUGACGCGGUGAUUUUAGCGAGUCCGGGCCUCUCGCGGUGGAGAUAACAACCCUACGUCUCGUGCUCCGGAGAGGUUUUGUUUUAUCUGAGUAUGUAUCCACAGAUUACAAUGUGUGUGAGAGAGAGAGGAACAAAUCCCAUGACUGAGCUUAGUCCUGAGACUAAUGGCGAGGGAGAGAGCCAGGGGGAGGAAUCAGAGAAGAGCCCCUUAGUCUAGUGGUGGGGGUGGCUUAUAUAGAGUGCGCCACCCCCUCACCUCCUAUGUUACAAAGAGGGGCAUGAAUGUCAUAAUGUCAGCCCACUACGAAACCUCCACUAUGAGAAUGAUGCUUCGACUGCCUUGUCGAUUGUUUGGUCUUCGCAUAUUCGAGUGAGCCAUACGACUGAGUGGUUGACUGUCUUCCGAGUGAGCCAUACGUCAGAGUGGUUAACCGUCUUCAGAGUGGACGAUACGUUGAUAUGUCCGAGUGAAUAGUACACUGUAUGAGAUUUAUCUGAACCCAUAUGAUGUGUGGACCCCAUGCUUCAUGAUAUUUCGACCCUUCGUGGGCCUACCUGUUAUGUGUAUCCCCAACAAGCAUGUAGUAUUUUCCAUGCCCUUUAGAGCAUCUACAGCCCGGUGCCGAAAACCGUCUCAAACACCUGGGCGGACGUCCCAGUCACUGAUCGCUCACGAAAAUGCAACCCAGACGAGCGCCUGAAUCGGGCCUCAAACACUUGGGCUGACCGGGGUCCCUCAUAUCCAUCCCAAAUAUGGGGCGGAUACGGGUGUGCCCGGACACGUCCACCACGUCGACCCCAGCCGUCGCUGGCCCACCCGACCCCACAGAUAUUUUCCCCCUUCUGCAUCAGACCAAACCCUAGCCACUUCACUCCACUCCACUCCCCUCCGCCCACCCAAGCUCCCGUCUGGCAAUCUGCAGCCUUAUCUGGCAUUGGGGGGAAGCGAGAGAAGAGUGGGACCGAGGGAUGUUAAUGGGUAGGGUAUGGGCGGGUACAACAUCCUUCUGCCGAAACCCAUACCCAUAGAAGCUUUCUAUGCCCACCCAUUUCAAUACCCAUGCCCAUGCCCAUCCGGUAUCCUAUACCAAAUGGGUAUCCAGUGGGUAUAAUAUAUAGCAUUUAAAUUUUUAAAAAGUAGAGAAAUGAGUUUAAAAUUCAAGUGAUCAUGGGCGAGUAAUAUAGCACUGACAUCGGCUGCCACGGUGGGUGGCCUCUUGGAGGCAUCAAGGGAGUAUGAGCGGCGGUUGGUGGAAGCCUGGUACAGUGGGAGGUGGUGGUGGGAAUGGGCGAUCACUGGUUCGAGAGUUGAACAGGAGUUUGAUAGCCAAGAGUCAAGAUUUCAUCUUUUCAACGGAACAUAUGAGGAGUGGCGAGUGAUUAUGGGCCUUUGAGCUAUGCCCGAUUUAAGGAAUCGAGACUAGGGUGGGCCGUAGGAGUUGGAUGAUGACCCCACAUCUCAUAUGAGUUAUUUUCAUUUAUUAACUUUCUCGGGGUAUUGAUUGGGUUGUCCAUGGGCGCAAUAUCCUACCCAUAUAUUUUGUGGGUAUGGAUACCCAUUAUACAUGGGUAUAAAAUCUAUCAAUGUCUUGCCCAUACCAUUGUUUUCAGGUAGGGUACCCGUGGGUACCCAUACCUAUGGGCAAAACUGCCAUCCCUAUCAACCGUGCAUGUGCCGGAUUCCCGCAAAGCUCCCCCACAUUUGUCUCUUGAAGACUGUAAUUCAUACAUCCGGACUGCUAAAUAGAUUUAUCUAGGUUUUCGUUAGAUGACAAAAGGGAUCCAGACGUAUUUCAACAUUUCAGGGGCUGGCGUUGGAGAUGCCCUAAGACACCUUAAUGAGCAGGGGGGGUCAAUUCCUGGUUCCGUCCCUUGUGGGAGGAGAACAACGAGGCCCGCGAGGCUGCCAAGGAUAGUGGCGUCGAAGAUCUUGCUGCUCCGCUUCCAGAGGCUGGAAGCCGAUGUGACGGUCUCGGGCGGCAAGGCAGGCGUGACUACUAUGCCUAGCGUCAUGCACGGGUGGCUCCUCAUUGUACAUUGAGCCUGUCAUUAGUAACAUUAUAAUACCAAUGAGAGAGCGUGCUGGUGUAUUGCACCCAUUACUACUAGUACUAGUGACAUGCACGUAUUGAUGAUCACGGAAGCACUUUAAACGUUCUCUUAAAAAGUAGGACACGUAUAAUUAGAAGUAGGAAACUAUAUAAGGUGAAAAUUGAUCAUGCCAUCAAUUCUUUUAAGCAAAAAAGUGUAGUGAGAUAUUUUAUUUUUAUGAAACGGAAAACGUAAUGAGAUAUAGAGCAUGUUAUAUUACAUGCCCAAAUAUAACGCAUAUUAAGGUAAAAUUGAAGCCUAUAUAUAUCCUCGAAAUAGGCUUUCGUCCCCCUAUAUUAAUAUAGCAACAAGCCUACAUAUAUGAUGUCAAUAUUUUCAUAAAACCAUAAUAACCAAAUUUCUUUGGAUCAUAAAUACUUGGGAAACUAAUAAGACCUAAAUAAACAUGCAAUUUACUCAUAACACUUAAAUCUAUGUAGUCGUAGUUAACCGAGCAGAGACAAGAACAAAACGGGCCAGUCCACGUUCACAGGCAUGGCUUCCAAACCUAUGCCGCCGGGGAAUUUUUCCACUUCCGUUCUUAAGUUUGCGAUAUCAACCCUUCGCACACACCAUGAAUUGUCUACAAUGAGAAAAGUUCCACCCUUCUCUUCAGGCCACAUGCGUGCACAAGGGCGAAUCCCAACAUUGAACUUGAUGCCCUUGGUGUAGAGCCAGACUCCACUUUCCCGUGUCCACAUCUCUAUGAUGUCAAGUUCUUUGCGCUGGCGAAACAUGGCGAGAGACCCAUCCGCAGAGACGCCGAGAAUCGGCAGCAUCUUGCCAUUAUAGCCAUAUCUGUGCACAGGGCCCGAGAUCUCUGUCAAGGAGACGAGAUAGGUCUCGGCGCUCACGUCUAAGGAGUAAUAUUUUGGUGAGGCUCCGGCUUCCGAUAAGUACCAGGCGAGCCAGUGCACCACGCCACGACACACGACGGGGUUGUCAUGUUUCUGUUGUAGCAUCGAAAGGCCGCCCCUGCUGAUCCCCGACAUCUUGUCGAAACACUUUGUGGGUGAACCCCAGGUAAGCUCUGCGGACGAGAAGGUGUAGAGGUUGCACUCCUCGCUGUGGUCGCCCUUGUGGCCGCUGACGACAAGGGUUAGCAGCUUAAAAACCGCCGAGUAGUAUCCCAGACCCAGAGACGACGGACGUUUCGCUUCCAAGGAGGAGGAUGGAUAGUCUUGAGCGGCUAAAAUUGUGCAGCUGAUGGAGGAAGCUUCACACCUGAGCCGCAGCUCGGGAAGCACGUUGCAGGUGCCGGCGGGUAGGUCGCAGACGGCCAUGUGGACCGCAUUGCCGCGGACACCGCGGAAGAGGCGCACGACGACUAGGCCAUGACGCGCGGCAAGCGGCUGGGCACCGUCCAAUAGGCCAUCCGGCUCGCAUGAUAGGAAGUCGGUGAGGAGGCGGGGGCGGGCACCGAGCAUCGAUUCCAACGGCGGGACAAAGAGCGGCGGGUAGGGGGAGUCGAUGUCCUCCUCGUCGCGUCGCUGCUGAAUCAAGAAGCCGAGGUGGGAGGACGGGCGUCCACCGUUCUCCGUCCAGCAACGUUUGAGGAAGGCGCGGUCGGCGAUGAACGCGCGCCACUGCUUGCUCGCCGCGGCGCAGCGGAACAGGGCGGCGGAGUCGGUGGAGACGCGGAGGAGUAUGUCGAGGAUGAUGUCGUAGGGGAGCGUGGCCGCCGCUGUAUCUUCCAUGAUCGGUUUGAUUUUUUUUUUAGGCUCCAUGAUCGGUUUGUUGUGCGAGAGGCCGAGGCUGUAACUCAGCUGCAUACACGUACGGCCCAAAGCCGUAGAAAGUCGGCACAAGGAAGCCCAUCACGACGUUCGGAAACGGAACUCGUUUCCCUUCAUGACAAUAAGAAAAAGAAAAAAAAGAAACGGAACUUGUUCAGCAUCUCCAUCUCGCCGAGAAUAAAAUGAAAUCCACCGAGUCGCAUGCCCUCCUCUCGCUCGCUCGCUCGCUCCUUCAACGCCGCGGAUGGAGCUUUAAAAGAAUUGAUUUUUGAAAUAAAAUAAACGGCCGUUUUCGUAUAGCACACAACUUGCACGCGCGCGAAAAACAAGUCCAACCAACCGCCCUUGACAUGUUUCGUUUUGUGCGUGCAAAAAAAGAAAAGAAAAAAAAAGGCUCCAAUUUCUUUUCUUCAACACAACAAGAGGGCUUAAGUUUCUUUCUUCAGCAAACCCUCUCGACGCACCCCCACUGUCGGGUCUACAUAAACAACCCACUUCCCGACCCAGACAUUCACUUCUCCUUCUUCUACUUCAUGUUAGACUGCCCGCGCGCGAGCUAUCCACGUCCAACCUAGUCAGUCACAGACGCCACCUGCCGUCCACGCCACCUGCCACUAGUCGGCGAAGACGUAGGUGGCCCCAUGUUUUUUCUUAUUUGCCGCUAGGUCUAUUUCGACAAAUCCCGGUCGUGUGUAUUCGAGACUGAAAUAUAUAGUCCUGUCUCUGCACCACACGAGCAGACCAACCAUAGCGACUUAGGGUCCGUGACAUAGACAGAUAGACGCCCCCUACGCUUGCCGCGAUACAUGGAGAGGCAUUCCUCGCCUUUUCCCAUGGCAACGCACGGAUAUUUUGCGAAUACAAUUAAUCAAGAAACCUACUACCAAUGAUUGAUAUAUUGAUGAACAUCCCUAAAAAGAUCUUUGACGAAUUGGUGUGUGUGAAACAAAAGAUCUGAGUGAUUCUAUUUAUUAGGGACGGAAGGCACCGAGGAGCGAGCCGUCGGAUCUGGGUGAUCGUCUGGGAUUGGGUCGCGGUCGGAUCUGGGCGAGCGUAUGGGAUCGGGUCGCCGUCGGAUCUGGGCGAGCGUCUGGGAUCGGGUCGAGGGGAGGUUGUUUCGUGGGAUGGGGAGGCGAUCCGCGGGAAUAGAAGGCUGACAAAUUAACAUCCAGAUUGAUCCGACCUCUUCCACAACCAACAUCACUGUUCUCCUCAUUUACAGCCGUCAGAUUUGGACGUAUGGCCAGAUCAGUUAUAGGAGGGAGCUCAAUUCGUGGGAUGAAAAGACAAUCUAAUCCAACAGAGAGAGUUGAAAAAGGGAACCAACCAAAAAAAAGAGAGAGAGACAGAGAGAAAAUAAAGGCGUCGUGUCGCCUCCUUCCCCGCGAUUGGAUUCACAUUCACUGCUCCUCCUUCCACGCGCGCGCACCUCGUCUCCCCGUCGCCGCCGCCGCCCUCAAUACCAUGGCGUUCAUAUGUGCUUCCCGAUCUGGAGAGAAGACGAGCCGUGCCCAACCAAACCCAACCCGCAGAUGCAACCGCAUCUCGUUCCCCUCUCCCUCCGACACGGCCGCGCCCAACGGCGGCCUCCCCCCGCCGCUGCCCUCACCCUCUCCCUACAUCCAGCAGUCCCCGCGAUUGGAUUCACAUUCACUGCUCCUCCUUCCCUGCGCGCGCACCUCGUCUCCCCCGCCGCCGCCACCGACGCCGCCCUCAAUACCAUGGCGUUCCCGGGCGCAUUCGUACGUGCUUCCCGAUCUGGAGAGAAGACGAGUCGUGCCCAACCAAACCCAACCCGCAGAUGCAGCCGCAUCUCGUUCCCCUCUCCCUCCGACACGGCCGCGCCCACCGGCAGCCUCUCCCCGCCGCUGCCCUUGCCCUCUCCCUACCCAGGCCCCACAUCCAGCAAACGCGGCCAUGGCGUUCCCGGCAGCCGCGGUGUCUCGCCGUGGAUGGGAAGGAGAUCGGAAUCCUCCAUGGCCGGACGCGCUGAUGGGGAUCUUGCGGAUGCCGGGAAGAACCGCCGCUGCCAUCCAUCCAUGGCCGACACACAGCUCCUCAAGGUCUCGCCCUCCUCUCUGUCCUUUCGAUUUGCUUGCCCUGAUGCGGUUUCGAUCCGUGAUUCUCUGCCCUGCUCUGCUCCACUCUUCUUGCAGGAGUUUCAGAUUUGCAUUGUUUGUUUUUAUCACCUAAAAAAGUCAGCUCUGAUAUGAUACGAACAACAUGUUUCCGUUUUGUAGGCUUCCAGUGGUGUUAUUAGCCCUCAGCAAGUGCUAGCUACUAAAUUAGCUUUGACUUUGUGUAUCGGUGAUUCCUACUAGGUAGGGUUCCUGUACGUGCACAAAUUCAGUAAAAAAAUGUUCUUGAGACAUGCCUAUUUAUAUUUGAUACAAGAUGCCUCUGCUCAACAAUUUUCAAGUGAGAUUCGCACUGAAUCUUUUGUGUUUUAUCUAUCAUUUAGUCCAGCUAGCAGCCAAGAAAUGUUACUUUGAUAUGUAAUAAUCUUGUGAUUCUUUGUGCGCUGCCGGUUAUGUUUGACGGGCCGGCAUAGCUGCACGAGUUCUUGUCUAUCAUUUACACCUGCAGAUUGUGAUGCUUUCUGCUCGCGAUUGUUUCGCCAUGUCCACUGCAGACAUAUGUCGGUCAUGCUAUGUUGAAUGUGAUAUGAAAUUGACAUAGCCACUUGUUGUGAGAUUGAUCCUGACCGCUUUCUCUUUGAACAAUAAGGUCCAUCCCGUUNNNNNNNNNNNNNNNNNNNNNACACGGCCGCGCCCACCGGCAGCCUCUCCCCGCCGCUGCCCUUGCCCUCUCCCUACCCAGGCCCCACAUCCAGCAGACGCGGCCAUGGCGUUCCCGGCAGCCGCGGUGUCUCGCCGUGGAUGGGAAGGAGAUCGGAAUCCUCCAUGGCCGGACGCGCUGAUGGGGAUCUUGCGGAUGCCGGGAAGAACCGCCGCUGCCAUCCAUCCAUGGCCGACACACAGCUCCUCAAGGUCUCGCCCUCCUCUCUGUCCUUUCGAUUUGCUUGCCCUGAUGCGGUUUCGAUCCGUGAUUCUCUGCCCUGCUCUGCUCCACUCUUCUUGCAGGAGUUUCAGAUUUGCAUUGUUUGUUUUUAUCACCUAAAAAAGUCAGCUCUGAUAUGAUACGAACAACAUGUUUCCGUUUUGUAGGCUUCCAGUGGUGUUAUUAGCCCUCAGCAAGUGCUAGCUACUAAAUUAGCUCUGACUUUGUGUAUCGGUGAUUCCUACUAGGUAGGGUUCCUGUACGUGCACAAAUUCAGUAAAAAAAAUGUUCUUGAGACAUGCCUAUUUAUAUUUGAUACAAGAUGCCUCUGCUCAACAAUUUUCAAGUGAGAUUCGCACUGAAUCUUUUGUGUUUUAUCUAUCAUUUAGUCCAGCUAGCAGCCAAGAAAUGUUACUUUGAUAUGUAAUAAUCUUGUGAUUCUUUGUGCGCUGCCGGUUAUGUCUGACGGGCCGGCAUAGCUGCACGAGUUCUUGUCUAUCAUUUACACCUGCAGAUUGUGAUGCUUUCUGCUCGCGAUUGUUUCGCCAUGUCCACUGCAGACAUAUGUCGGUCAUGCUAUGUUGAAUGUGAUAUGAAAUUGACAUAGACACUUGUUGUGAGAUUGAUCCUGACCGCUUUCUCUUUGAACAAUAAGGUCCAUCCCGUUUCCGCGCCAAAGGAGAUGCUGCCCUUGUCUAAACGGCCGGCACGGGCGUCGCUCUCCAGAUUGCGCAUGCCGUGUCUAAACGGCUGUGUUGAACAAUAUAUGUAUCUUGCGAUUCUCCGUGUGACGUGGUUCCCUGAUGCGGUUUUGUUUUGUGAUUCCCUGACGUUGUUCCUUCACACACGCAGGUGCACGACAGAGCCAGCUGUGUGUGGUGUGCGCGGGGGAUUCUUCUUCCACCCCAGCAAUCUGGUAAAUCCACUGGUUACCUCCCAGCUCUACUCUGCUGCACUAUUCUGGUAGGAGUUUCAUUUUUUCAAUGCUUUUUUUGUCAGCUAAAAAAGUCAGCUCUGAAUAAGUAAGGAUAUGUUUCAGUUUUGUAGGGUUUUAGUGGAUUUAGUCCUCGAGUGCUAAAUUAGCUCUGGCUUUGUCUAUCAGUGAUUCCAACUAUAUAGGUUUCUUGUAUGUGCUUAACUUAUGUAAAAAUUUGUUCUUUAUACAUAAAAGUGCCAGCAGCUAUUUACAUGAUAGAUGAUGUCUCUUUUAUAGAUAUGUCAAGGAUGAGAAUCCACUAAAACCCUGUAUAAACUCACACUUAACAUAUAGAAUACUGCUCAUUUGCAUCGUUAUUCAAGUUAUCUAAUCGGCUCAUCGCACAUAAUUUGAUAGUUGACCACGAUCGAGUAGUACUAGAAUUUGCUUGCCUUGAGCUGCUAGCUACUAGCUCCGUAUCGCAUCGCCUGUUGCAGUAAUGAAUUGGCUUAUCGUAACGGUUCUUGAAUGUUCACAACUUCUGUAAAAAAAUGUUCUUGAUACAUACAAGUGUUAGCAACUAUUUACUUGAUAGAAAAUGCUUGUUCUGUACAUACUCCAAGGAUGAGAAUCACAUGAUAGUUCUUUUCGGCCUUAUACUGUAUAAAUGUUUUUUAUUUUGGUUUGCUUUAUGAUUUAGCCAAGCAAUGUUAUCGAGAAAUGUAUCUUGUGAUUCUUUGUGUGCCGGUCAUGUCUGUGGGCACAACUGCAAGAGUUCAUGUCCAUCAUUCACACACACGAAUUGUGUUGCCUGCUGCUCGCAACCAUUUCAUCCUGUCCAUUGUAGACAUUGUCGGUCAUGCUAUGAUGAAUUUCAAACAGAACCGACAUAGACACUUGUCGUGAGGUUGAUUCUGAUCGCUUUCUCUUUGAACAAUUAGGUCCAUCCCGUUUCUGUGGCAAAGGAGAUGCUGCCCCUGUGGACCUCCAGAUUGCUCUGGCCACCAACUUAUCUAGUGUUAAAGGUAUUGUUGCCCUGACUUGGAGUUGGAUCCCGGUGGCAUUGUGUUUGUUUUAUGCUUUUCUUCUCUCCGUCGCUCAAUUUUAGCGUCAUUAUCUACUAUUAGCUUGCACCAGGCAAGUAUUGUAUACAUUACUAAUUUACUAAUUAAUCUCAGCUGACCAUGUCCUCUUUCUGUUGUCUGUUUUUGUGCAAAAGGAAUGCUUUUGUACUUUAAAUUCAAGUCUGAUGAAAGAAAGACUCUAGACAUACUAUUUUUCUUGUUACCAUCAGUAUUAAUACUAUCAUUGCCAUCGUUCUUUCAUCAGCUAAUAAAAUCUCAGGCGAAAUUAACCCAACCUCAUUCUGUAUAAAGUGGAGCUUCAUUUUAGUUUUUACAAUCACGUAAACUAGACCUGUAGCUAAAAUGUGAUAGCAUGUUAUACACAUCGAGGCUUAUUAUUCUUGUCAAUUCAAAAUGAAUGUGAUGUCUUAUGCUGAAUACAUUUAAUCAUUCGUGUGUUUUGACGUACCUGCAGGGUUGCAAGCGAACCUUUCAGAAAUGAUAUUUAGAUUCUAGAACGGACCGAGGAACCAAGUGAACUUGAUGACUACUAUGUGAUUCCCGAGCCAGGGUUUGAGUAGCUACUGUUCUACCAAGUGAGGAUGAUGUUACGGUCGAUGAUGGCAAGAUCAGCGCCUUGGCAUACGACACCGCGUCGGUCGCUCUUGUUCAAGGUCUCUCUCUGUCUCUCUCUGUCUCUCUCUCUAUGAUUUGCUCGUCAUGGUUCCCCGAUGUGGUUUCAAUUUGUGAUUCCCUGACGCGGCCUGACACACGACAGUGAGCAGUAGUGGGAUUCGUCUUCCAAUCCGGCAAUCUGGUAAAGCCACUGGUAGUGGUUACCUCCCUGCUCUACUCUACUCCACUUUUGUACGUAGUCGGAGUUUCAGUUUUUGAAUCAUUUUUCUAUCACCUGAACAAAAAAGGCAGCGCUGAAUAAAGCAAAACAUGUUUCAGUUUUGUAGGGUUUUAUUGGAUUUAGCUCUGACUUUGCCUGUCAGUGAUUCCAACUAGGGUUCUUGCUGUAUGUGCAUAACUUCUGUAAAAAAAUGUUCUUUGUACAUAAAAGUGCCAGCAUCUUUUUAUUUGAUAGAUGUUGUCUCUUUUAUACAUAUGUCAAGGAUGAGAAUCCACUAAAACACUGUAUAAAAUAGGGCAUGUCCGACAAUGUCUCUUUUACUCGAUAGAUGAUGUUAUUGAUAGAGAUUCAAUUCAGUUGCAAACUUGGUAAUGUGUUACUGUUGCUUUGUCCAGGUGCAAGAAAAACUCACACUUACCAUAUAAAUUGCUGCUCAUUUGCAUCAUUAUUCAAGUUAUCUAAUUGGCUAAUCGUACGUACAAGUAUUUUGUAUAGUUGACCAUGAUCGAGUAGUAACAAUGUUUGCUUUCGUUGACUUGCUAGCUACUAGUUCCAUAUCAGAUUGCCUUUUGCUAUAACUAAUUGGCCUUAUCGCUUUUCUCAACUCUCACACUAAUGCGGCUUAAUUGUGAUAGCAGAUCCCAGCCAUAGCAGCAGUUGGAGCAUGUUAGCCAAUUAAGGCAGCGUGAGCAUGAGGAGAGCGAGCAGGAGAAGGAGAAGGAGGCAGGGCACCUACGGUCGGCUCCUUCUCCAGAACCACGCGGCGGGAAAGGAGGUUAGAGGACUUUUUCUUCUUGGGACGCCGCAUCCAUGGAGCUCCGACCCCAUUGCCACUGCCAUACAUGGAGCUCUGGCCCAUGGCCAACAGCUCAAGGUCUCGCCCCACCUCUCCUCUCUCUCUCUCUCUCUCUCUCUCAUUUCAAAUUGCUAGGAUUGGUGCUUCCCUGAUGCGGUUUUUUUUUCAUUCCUUGGAAGUGUUUUCCUCGCACACGUUGGUGCGACACAGAGCCACCGUGGGGAUUCCUUCCACUACGACGUCUCCUGGUUUCUCCUCCGGUGCCCCCAUUCUUCUUCCACUUCAGCAAGUGGUGAUCCACCGGUUCCCUCCUCUGCUCUGCUCUACUGUACUGUCAAUGUCUUUUCUUGUUUCUAUCACCUAAAAAAGGCAUCAGAGAAACAUGUUUGAGUUUUGUAAGCUUUCAGUUUUAUAGGCUCUCAAUUGCUAAAUUAGCUCUGAUCUUGUCUAUAUCAGUGAUUCAUACAAGGGUUCUUGUAUGUGCCAAAUUUUGUAGAAAACUGUUCUUGACGCAUCAAAUUGUUUGCAGCUAUUUACUUGAUGAUAGAAGGAUGAGAUUUGCAUCAAAGUCUUCGCCACUUUUGAUGUGUCAAGGGUGACACAUCAAACCCUUGUUGUACAUAUGUGAAGGAUGAGAUUCACAUGAUAAUUUGUUUGGGCCUUAUGCUGUAUACAACUGAUUUUUCUGUGUGUUUUAUGAUUUAGUCAAGGCCAAUCAGUGUUACUGAUAUAUAUGUAUCUUGCGAAUCUCCGUGUGCCGGUCAUGGUUCCCUCAUGCGAUUUCUAUUUGUAUUCCCUGACGCGGUUCCCUCACACACGCAGGUGCACGACAGAGCCAGUUGUGUUUGGUGUGCGCAGGUUGGAUUCUUCUUCCACUGUGGAAAUCUGGUAAGCCCCCUCCCUAACCUACUCUGCUUCACUGAUCUAGUAGGACUUAAAGUUUUUUAAUGAUUUUUUUAUCAUCUCAAAAUGUCAGCUCUGAAUAAAGAAGAACAUGUUUACGUUUUGUAGGGUUUUAGAGGAUUUAACCCUCAAGUCUAAAUUGGCUCUGAUUUUGUCUAUCGGUGAUUCCUACUAGGGUUCUUGUAUGUGCACAACUUCUGUAAAAAUUUGUUCUUUAUACAUAAAAGUGCCAGCAGCUAUUUACUUGAUAGAUGAUGUCUCUUAUACAUAUGUCUAGGAUGACAAUCACAUGAUAACCAAAUUUUGUUUUAGUCAGCAGCCAAGGAGUGUUAUUGACAGAGAAUCAAUUGCGACGCAAAUUUAGUAAUGUGCCUGGUGGCUUUGCCCAGGUGCAAGAAAAACUCACACUUACCGUUUGCAUCGUUAUUCAUAUAACUGGCUAAUCACACAUAUAUGUAAUUUGAUAAUUGACCACGAUCGAGUAAUACUACAGUUUGCUUGCAUUGAGCUGCUCGCUACUAGUUCUGUAUCCCAUCGCUUGUUGCAAUAACAAAUUGGCUUAUCGAUAGGGUUCUUGUAUGUGCACAAUUUCUGUAGAAAAUUGUUGUUGAUACAUACAAGUGUCAGGAGCAGCUAUUUACUUGAUAGAAGAUGCCUCUUUUGUACAUACUUCAAGGAUGAGAAUCACAUGAUAAUUCAUUUCAGCCCAAUACCGUAUAACUGUUUUUGUGUUUAAUGAUUUAGUCAGUAGCCAAGCAAUGUUAUCGAGAUAUGCAUCUUGCCAUUCUUUGUGUGCCGGUCAUGUGUGUGGGCACGACAGCAUGAGUUCCUAUAUAUCAUUCACACGUGCAAGUUGUGUUGCCUGCUGCUUGCGAUCGUUUCGCCCUCUCCACUGUAGAACUUGUCGGUCAUGUUGUGUUGAAUUUGAAACGAAACUGACAUAGACACUUGUCGUGAGAUUGAUUUUGAUCGCUUUGUCUUUGAACAAUCAGGUCUAUCCUGUUUCCAUGGCAAAGGAGAUGAUGCCCUUUGUGGAAACCGCUGACGCACGUGUUGCUCUCCAGAGAUUGCGAAGGCGACCAGUGGUUCUAGUGCUAAAGGUAACAUUGCCUUGACUUGGGCUUGGACCCCGGUGGCAUUGCGUUUCUUUUAUGCUUAUCUUCUCUCCAUCGCUCAAUUUUAGCGUCAUUAUCUACUGUUAGCUAGCACUCGGCGAGUAUUCUAUACAUUACUAAUUUAGUAACUAAUCUCAUCCGGCCAUAUCCUCUUCCUGCUGUCUGUUGUUUUGUGCAAAAAGAAUGCUUCUGCUGUUUAAAGUUAAGUUUGAUGAAAGAUUGUCUCUUGACAUACUAUUUUUCUUGUUACUAUCAAUACUAUAAUAUUGUCACUGCCAUCAUUCUUUCUUUAGCUAAUAAAAUCCCAGGUGAACUUAACUCAAGCUCAUUCGGUAUAAAGUGGAGCUAGAUUUUAAUUUUUACAAUCACGUAAACUGGACCUCGAGCUAAAAUUUGAUAACAUGCAUGUUAAUUCAAAAUGUAUGUGAUGUCUUACGCUGGAUACAUUUAAUCAUUCGUGUGUUUUGACAUAUCUGCAGGGUUGCAACCAAACCUUUCAGAAAUGAUAUAUAGAUUCUAGAACGGACCGAGGAACCAUGUGAACUCGACCACUACUGUGUGAUUCCCAAGACAGAGUUCGAGCAGCUACUGGUCGACCAAGUGAGGAUGAUGUUGCGGUCGAUGAUGGCAGGAUCAGCGUCUUGGGAUACAACACCACGUCGGUCGCUCUUGUUCCACGUCUUGAUGACGGUGACAGCCUCAAGUUUCCCACCACGCUCUGGUCGAUUCUCGAUAACAAGCUCCCAGACGGCUCCUGGGGAGACGCUGCCCUGUUCCCCGCCUAUGACCGGGUCACCAACACCCUUACCUGUGUCGUGGCUCUCAUAAAGUGGUCUCUUGGCCAUGGUAAAUGCAGGAGAGGUAUUGUAAAUCGACAAACUAAUACACGCAACUAUUCUGCUAAAGUACCAAAUGAAGCAAAGUCUUUCAACUAAAUGUAUGCAUGAUGCAUCCUGUUUUUUCUUUUCAGCGCUCUUUUUUCUCUAGGACAACAUGUGUCAACAACUCUGUUUUUUGGCCCUCGUGAAGAGAAGGAAUCCUAACCUAUAUGAAGUACAUUUUAGAGAAAUGAUGUAGCUUCCUUAUAAGAUCCCAAAGCAUCAACUAUACAAAAGAAUGCUUCUGCAGUUUAAAGUCAAGUUUGAUGAAAGAAAGAGUCUGGACAUACUAUUGUUCUUGUUACCGUUAGUAUCGUAAUACUUUCACUGCUAUCGUUCUUUCAUGAGCUAAUAAAAUCCUAGGUGAACUUAAACCAAUCUCAGUCUAUAAAAAGUGGAGCUUGAUUUUAACUUUACAAUCACAUAAACUUGACCUGGAGCUGAAACUUGAUAGCAUUUUUAAUGUACAUCAAGGCAUUAUUAUUAUAGUUAAUUCAAAAUUAAUGUGAUGUGUUGCGUAGGACAAAUUUAAUCAUUCGUGUGUUUCGACAUACCUACAGGAUUGCAAAUGUAGCUUGUCUCCGACGAUGGGGCCGAGAACCGCAGGCUACGUACCCUAUGCAUCGCUGCUUUGACUGACCUAUCUCCCUGCGUCGGCAACCGCUUCUCUGAUGGAUGGGUUCAUCACAGGGACUCGUCAUGGCGCGCUUCAUCAACACCAAGAGGAGACCCCUUCAUCUUCAUGGCCGGCCCUCAAGCAAAGCAAAGGUACCCAUUUUCUUGAGUUCAUCUAAUAUCUUAAUCUGUAUGUUCUGUUUCUUCAUCACAUCCAGCCCUGGGAUUUGCAAUUCUUCCUCCUCUCGUAUACAUGAGGACGGGUUCAUCAAUGUUUGACUCUGCUUGGAUUCAGAUUAGCCUGCUCUUGGAUUCACAUUGUUCUGUACACGUUAAUUGGCCAGAUUGUUUGGAUUCACAUUGUUUCGACUAAAUAUAGUUAUGGGUAUUAGAUUCGGAUUGUUUGACCACACAUUAGUAAUCCAGAUUAGAGGUGUAUGUACUGAGAUUUGAUUCUAAUUACUCCUGGCAUAUUUUAAAUAGGAAAUGUUGUUAGAAGACUAUCAUCCAGCCGUGCUUGGAUCAAAAUUAAUGUCUAUUAUAUUGUUUAGAGAUUUUAUUUUAUUUUGAACACAAAAGUGCCUCCAUUAGACUAUAUAUGUCAUGAAGAUGGCCUCUUUGUUUGUGGGUACCAUUCAGGUAGGUAGCUUAAAAGAGUUUGAAAUAAGUUGUGCCAGGCAGUUACUAUUGUAGUCCUGCUUCUAGUUCUAGAAGGAUGCAUCUAAGCCUGAUUUGAUUUCAUUUACUUUUGAGCACUAUACUAAUUGCUAUCUGGUCAGGGAGGGGAUCGAAAUUGUCCAUGGACGGACGCGCUGAUGGGGACCUGAUGGAGACAGAGAAGGACCACGAGGAGGUGGCGUGGGUCGACCCUGGCGGUUGGCUCCUCCUCCAGAACCACGUGGUAGGAGAGGAGGCACAAGGACUGCUUCUUCUCAGGAUGCCGCAUCCAGGGAGCUCCGACCCUACCGCCGCUGUCAUCCAUGGAGCUCUGACCCAUGGCCAAGAACUCAAGGUCUCGCCCCACUUGUCCUCCCUCUCUCUCCCUUCUCUCUCAUUUUAAAUUGCUAGGCUUGGUGCUUUCCUGAUGCGGUUUUUGUCUGUCAUUCCCUUAUGUGUUUUCCUCGCACAGGUAGGUUCAGACAUAGAGCCACUGUGGGGAUUCCUUCCAGUCCGACGCCACUUGGCUUCUGCUCCGGUGCCCCCGUUCUUCUUCCAAUCCAGCAAGAUGGUAUGACACCGGUUCUAUCCUCUGCUUUUCUCCCUAUACCUGCAAUGUCUUUUCAUGUUUCUAUCACCUAAAAAAUGCAGAUCUAAAUCAGAGAAACAUGUUUCAGUUUUACCUGGUGAUAGAAGGAUGAGAUUCACAUUAAAGUGUUUGCAACAUUUGAUGUGUCAAGGGUACUUGACACAUCAAAGCCUCUGUUGUACAUAUGUGAAGGCUGAUAUUCGCAUGCUAAUUUGUUUGGGCCAUAUGCUUUAUAACUGAUUAUUUUUUGUGUUUUUUUAGUCAGUAGCCAAUUAAUGUCAGUGAUAUAUGUAUCUUGUGAUUCUUCGUGUGCUGGUCAUGGUUCCCUUUUGCGGUUUUGAUUUGUGAUUCCCUGAUGCGGUUCCCUCACACACGUAGGUGCACAACAGAGCCGGCUGUGUGUGGAGUGCGCGGGAAGAUUCUUCUUCCACUCCGGCAGUCUGGUAAGCCACCAGUUCCCUCCCUGGUCUAGUCUGCUCCACUGUUCUAGUAUGAGUUUCAGUUUUCCAAUGAUUUUUUUCACCUAAAAAGGCCAGCUCUGAAUAAAAAGUACAUGUUUCAGUUCUGUAGGGUUUUAGUGUAUUUAGCCCUUAAUUGCUAAAUUACCCCUGAUUUUCUUUAUCGGUGAUUCCUACUACGGUUCCUAUGUGCACAACUAACCUAAAAAAUUGUUCUUGAUAAAUACAGGUGUUAGCAGUUAUGUACUUGAUAGAAGACACAUCUUUUCUACAUGGUAAAUUUCGGGAUGCAAACCUAGUAAUGUGCCUGGUACGAUGUUCCACUUUUACUUUGAAUCGCUUCAAUCUAGGUGCAAGAAAAACUCACGUAUGGUAUAAAUUGCUUCUUAUUUGCAUCAUUAUUCAAGUUAUCUAAUUGGCUAAUCGUAUGCACAAGUAUUCAUAUAGUUGACCAUGAUCGAGUAGUACUACCAUUUGCUUGUGUUGAGCUGCUAGCUACUAGUUCCGUAUCGCAUUGCCUUCUGCGGUACCUAAUUGGCUUAUCACUUUUCUCAACUCUCACACCAAUGCGGCUUAUUUGUGAAAGCAGAUCCCAGCUUGAGCAGCAGUUGGAGUUAGCCAAGCGAGGCAGCGUGAGCACUAGGAGAGGGAGGGGAGAAGGAGAACUUAGGUUGCAUGGCACCAAUGGUCGGCUCCUUAUCCAGAAUCACGCGUCGGGAAAGGAGGUUCGAGGACUGCUUCUUCUUGGGACGCCACAUCCAUCGAGCUCUUACCCCAUCACCGCUGCCAUCCAUGGAGCUCUGACCUAUGGCCAACAAUUCGUCAUGGUAUCGCCCCAUUUCUCCUCUCUCAUUUCGAUUUGCUAGUCUUUGUGAUUGUGAUUCCCUGAUGUAGUUUCCUCAAGUACGCAGGUGCACGAAAGACCCAGCGUGUGGUGUGCAUGUGGAAUUCUUCUUCACACUCAAACACAGGUUAUGGUAAGCCACUGCUUCCGUCCGCUGCUCCAUGGUUCAUGUAGGGGUUUCAGUUUUCAAUUUCUUUUAGUGGAUUUAGCCCUCACAUGCUAAAUUAACUCUGACUUUGUCUACCACUAAUUCCUACUAGGGUUCUUGUAUGUGCAAGACUUCUGUGAAAAUAUAAAUAUGUGAUGUCCACCCCUUACUGUCUCUAUUCUAUUUUAUGGUUUGGAAAACGCAAAUCAUGUGUUGGUCUGUUUUACAAACAUGGAAUAGCCAGUAUAAUUGAUCUUGCCCCCCUUAUGUGUUGCUCCCUAUCAUUAUUCUGUUACCUUGUUAACUGGCCGUUAAUCUCAUUCUUUGUUCACCCCCAUGGACCUGACUUGAUGGUGAGGAUGGCAUAGAUAUCCAUGCUGGAGGAGUAGGAGGGCAACGGGCAAGUAAUAAUAGGAACCACCAUGAGCCUCACUAUGCGCUAUCCUGGUGAAACUGUUGGGUGCAACGGUGAUGGGCAAGACGAGCAUGUAGAAAGAGACCACAACAGCAGCAGGAUAAGACAUAGUUGUUGAAGACUUGAAAUACACAUGAAUGUACAUGUUUCGAUCUGAUCUCCCCUUAAUCUGGAUUGCCUUCUCUUCACAUGUAUGGUUGGUAUGUUUAGUGAAGCUUCUCAAUAGGUACAUGUCUUAUUAAUAAGUGAUUUUAAAAUAUAAAUAGAAGAUAGAAAGAGAGGGGAGGUUGGACAGCAAGAGAUAGUUAUUGUAAAAAAGAAAGUGGGUCAUGUUUCUCUUAUUGCUCUAUUCUGUCAUAAAUUUAUAAUGCUUGUCGGUCAAACACUAGAGUAGAUUUUUGACUUUCUGUCGGUAAUAAUCAAUGUCAAAUGGAAAAAAUAGAGAACCUUUUCGUGGAGAAAAUUGAAGUCCUUAUUCUGGUCAUAUAAAAUACAAGAUGUCCACCCCUAGUGUCUCUAGUCUAUUUUAUGCUUCAAAAAAUAUAAAGCAUUUGUUGGUUGUUAUAUUUGUAGAGAAGAGGCAAUAUGGAGGAUUUGUUUUUCUCAAGAAAGGAAUAAAUGCAAUCAUGGGCUUGGCUAUUAAUCUAAUUUUGAUGGCUGUAGGGUUGUUUAGAUGCAUCAUAAGACAUUUUUAUAGAAUUGAAAUACACCUGAACAAGUUGUGAUCAUCUGGAAUGUCGUGUCUUCACAUAAAGUAUAAAUAUAAGAUAGGAAAAGAGGGAAGGUCUGAAGAGCAUGAGAUAGUUAGUUAUUGUAAAAAAGAAAGGGGGUUCUAUUCUCUAAUAUCUCUUAUUCCAUUGUAAUGCUUGGUGGCAAUAAACUAGAGUAGAACUUGAUUUUCUGUUAGAGCUAAUCAAUGUCAAAUGGACACCCUUUUCCAUGCAGAAAAGUAAAGUCCUUACGAUAGUCAUGUAAAAUGUGAGAGGUCCACCCCUAUUGUCUCUAGUGUACUUUAUAUAUGCUUCAGAAAAUAUAAAGCAUGUGCUUUUUGUUAUAUUUGUAGAGAAGAAAUAUGGAGGAUUUUGUUUUUCUCAAAAGAGGAUUGAUUAGAAAGGUGGGCUUCAUUCUAACAUGUUAAUCUAAUUACACAUAGGAGCUGGAGUCAGUUUUCUAGUGAUGGACUAGGAUUGAAGCUACUCGACGAGGCACAAACAUGCUACUAUCUUGCUAGGCUGUGGUCUUCAGUUCAUGUCGUGGCUGGGUUGUUGCCAGUUACUUCAACUAGUCAGUUUUCUUGUUCUGCUUGCUCCAGUUACAUUAUGUCCUCCCAACCGUUGUCUGAUCAUGAAUACGUUGUCACAUUGUGCCUUUUGUUUCUGAAAGAUAAAACCUUGUAAUUUUAUUAUAUUACGAAGCCAAGCCGCGCACAUGGGUAUUUUUUGGGCUACCCCAGCUUUCAGGAUCCAGACACUUCAAAAUUGUUUUCUCAAGCUUCUUUUGAUGGUAUUUAGAAACUUGCAUAUGCUCAUUUAUUUCAGUCUAGUAAGCAACUUGAGCAAAAUGAGUCCACAAAUUAUCACCAGGCACGAAUGUCUCAGGUUGACAAAAUCGUCUGCCAGAGUGUGUUUUAUUCAAAGUCCUCAUUAUAGCCAUAUAAUAUUCGAGAUGUCCACCCCUACUAUCUCUUGUCUAUUUUAUGCUUGAAAAAAUAUAAAGCAUGUGAUUGUUGUUGUAUUUGUAGAGAAGAGGUAAUUUCUAGGAUUUUGUUUUUCUCAAGAGAGGAGUAAUGAAAUUGUGUCUUGACUCUAACCUGUUAGUUUGAUUUUGAUGGCUGUAGGGUUGUUUAGUUGCAUCAUAAGACAUCUUUGUUGAAUUAUCUGGAUCGCCUUACCUUGACAUGUCCUGUUAAUAAGUGUUUUAAAGAAAUAUUAUAAUUUAGAAAGAGAGGGGGAGGUUAGCAGAGUAUCAGAGAUAGUUAGUUACUGUAAAAAAGAAAGGGGGUCCUAUUCUCCAUCUCUCUUAUUCUGUUGUUAUGCAUGUAUCUUCCUGAUAUACUAAUAUAAAGUAUAAUUCAUGUGAUUCUCUCUGUUAAUGGUGAUGAAUCAGUCUUGCAAUUGAGGUGCAAGGGCCAUUUUGUGUGCUUUUGCCUCGUAGUUUCCUAUUCAAUGUACCUCUCGUAGCUGCUGAUUUUGAUGUGUUUGGGUUCACUAUCUUAGAGCCUGUUCGGACUCUCUCCGCUCUCCAACUCCACGCCGGAGCGGAGCAACAUCUAGUUCUAAUUUGGGGAGUGGCUGAAAAGGUGCUCCACGCGCUCUGCUCCAAACAGGGCCUUAGUUGAUGAUGUGAUUGGAUUCCAUAUGAUUUUAAAAUGAUCUGGAGAUUGCUUAUCUGGCUCAACACCAACACUUGAUCAGAGAUGGACAUCUUCAAUGAUCCAAUGCUUUUGCUUAUCUGACUUUUGUUGGUGCUUUUAUUCUGAAAUCUAAACUACUGCUUUUAUCCGUCGUUAAAUUCAUAUUAUACUUGAUGUAGACUGUUUGUUAUAUGAAGUGCUAGCCUACAUGUACUUGGUCAAGAGCAACAUGUGGGUUUUUCUAGGACUUGGUCACAAGGCACAUUAUGUUAAUUGUAGCCUGCUUGAUGUAUAGACUCAUGCAAGGACAAUAAUUAGCACCUAAAAAUCAUUGGUAGUGGUACUUCCAUGUUAGAGUUGCUUAUGGUAGCUACACCUUUCGCAAAGCCAUUCAUCUGUUGAUUGUUCCAGAGGCGCCAGCUUGUUGGCAAUUCAUGUAUUGUUUGCUUUGACGCGUGUUUUAACCACUUUACAUUGGUCUCUUAAUAAUGGUAUUGUUUUGGCUUCUUGCGGAAACAAGUAAAUCUGCACCUGCAUGGUUCUUUUUAAAAUAUUUCCUAGGAUUCCCUUUUCGAGAUGACAUGCUUAGUGUUGUGGAGGUCCAUGUUAUCAUGUCGAACCAAAACAUGCACGCUUUGAACUUUUUGUAACAGCAACUUGUCUUGAUUUAUGAAUUGACAGAGUGUAAUUUCUGCAUGCAGGGAGUGGCUCUCUGACGUUGCUCCUCGAGGAUGAUGCACUUGAAACCCUCUUUGGUGAGUUCCUGGUCUCCUCCCUCUCUCUCGCUUGUGUCCUGAGAUUGUCCUGCUCGAUAGCCAUGGUUGGCACUAGUGCGAAUCAUCGACCGAAUGAUUGAGGCCUUGGUUAUGUAUGUGGCCAUGCUUCCUUACUAUGCUGGUGGUCCUCCGGCCACCACAAGUGUUUUUUGUUGAUGAUUGGUGUGACGUUUUUUUAGCUGGGGCUAGUUUCAUGUUGUGCACUUGGCCAUCAUCUUCAUAGUUCUUACUGUAGUGUAGCUAUUUUUGGUGUUUUAUCAUGCCAUUGUCCUAAUCUGCUUGUGGAUGAGAUGCUGGCCAUUGAGUUGAUUUGUCAUAUCAUGGUUCGAAUUGCAAAUAGAACUUGCUACUGUGGAAGUUUACGCGGUUUAGAGAUUGGCCUGGUUUAGUUAAUUGCUAUGGAGUAAUUUUGAUAAGAACUAGAGUAAUUUACUUGUUGUGGGUAUAUAGCUUGUUUACUUUCAGAUGAUGUUACUUUCUGGGUCUAUUUUCCUGAAUUGGCAUGGUAUAAUAACUACAUGUUGAUGGUUAUGCUACUCCUUGGCCAUGCUCUUGUUUGAUAGGCCUGGAAAAAGAGAUAGAUAUUCUCUACUAGAUGUUUUACCAAGUGUUAGUGGUUUGUGCUGCUGAUAAGAAGUGUGGCAUACUUGAGCUAAUCCUGUGUGCAGCUAAUCCCAACAUGGUUUGACUAAGCAGCUUGUUUACUAGAUUUUUUAUUUGCUAAAAAAUUGAGACUCUUGUUGUGCAUUAGAUGCCCGAGUUUGGUGCCAUGGAGAUCGACGAUGAAGAUGUCAUUGCCCACAAAAGUGUCAAGGCAUUGAAGAGAGAAGACAUGUCCCCUGAGAGCCGAGAUGUGGAAAGCAUUAGGUAAAGUGGCAAGAGGAGCCGGAUGUGCAGCUUGUGCUUUUCUUUGUUGGCUGGUGGUUGCUGCUGAAGUGCAGAUUGAUGAUGCCUGGUGAUAUUGAAGUCCUAGUAGAUAGAUAUGCCCUAUGAUAAUUGUUUUCUUGUUGGUGGCUUACUUGUCGGCUGGUAGGUAUUGAGUCGAUGAAGUACCUUGUCGAAUUCUCAGCUCUUGUUGAUGUUCUCUUUUCUCGAUGGAGAGAGAGAGUGAUAUAUGAAGUGUAAAUUUCUGCAUAUUUUUUUCCACGAGUCUCUCCGAAAUGAAACCGGGAAUUGUGUGCCAUGCCAAUCUAUCUAUCUCUCUGUCUGUGAGUUGCCGAGAAGUUUCAAGCUGAGUGAUUUACAUAAUGGUAGUUUGUGCAAGCAUGCAUUUUAUGAUUGUUGUCUGCCUUGGCUUAU